UCCGUGAGCUGCAGACAGUGGACCACCUCGGAGAGUCUAGGGGUCCUGGGCGCAAUCUGGAAGGAGGAAGUGGGACGAGAGUUAGUGAGAAGAACUCCAAGAUUACAAAUAUCCACUUCAUUUGAUGCUGAGUUACUCGUCACAUAAGAAAAGGUCUGUUUGGACAUUCAAAGAAGCUACACUUACAAAGAUGGUUUAAAAAAAAAAUCUGAGCGUCCCAAUACUCAUCCUUGCCUCGAAUAAAUAAUGUUGCUUGAAGAAAUUCAUCGGCCCUCUCCAGAUACUUCCAGGUUUGCUGUAAUGAUCUGCAGAAGAGAACUGCCACCACUUUCUCACAUCCCAAGGUGUUGGCGGAACUGGAGCGAAGAAGGGGAGAGGGGCUGCAUGCGUAAUUGCAGAGGGGAGGGCGGGGUGCCUCCUGGGAUCCAGGGCAGGGGUUGGGGAGGUAAGAUGCAACCCAGGAAAGGUCUUUCUGGACGCUGGAGUCGCCAGUUGGAGAAUAUUUGGACAAGGUAUGAUUGCCUUAUUCCCCCCCCCCCCCCGCUCCUCCCCGUCUCUAUCCCAAUGCCUUUGGGGAGAAGAGAUACCCUUGUGUAACAAUUAGCUCAGACAAUAAAAAUAAUUGGAAAAUCA